AACGUAGGUUCCGAGCGUUAUCCGGAUUUACUGGGCGUAAAGCGCGUUCAGGCGGUUUGGCAAGUCGGGCAUGAAAUCUCUCGGCUCAACCGGGAGAGGUUGUCCGAUACUGCUGGACUUGAGGGCAGUAGAGGGUGGUGGAAUUCCGGGUGUAGUGGUGAAAUGCGUAGAUAUCCGGAGGAACACCAGUGGCGAAAGCGGCCACCUGGACUGCACCUGACGCUGACACGCGAAAGCUAGGGGAGUGAACGGG
rnacentral:rRNA from 1 species